CAUAGAGGCCAUGACUGGGGAGGGUUGGGCGACAGAGAAACGAAAGAUAAUAGGAGUAGGGAUGUGGAAGUGGGACAGCAGGAAUGGAUACAAAGUGGUGUAAUAGUCUGGAAAGGAUUGGAAUGCAGGGCAGUAUCUUAAGAAUCCCAGGCUCAUUCUGUUUCAUUGAGAGAAAAUUUCCUAGCAACAAAUCAUCCCAGCAUCUCAGGUCUUCUAUCUACGCUGAAAUGUUAAUGCAAUGAACCACAAGGAGUGUGGUUUCAAAAUUGAUGGGCUAGCAACACAAACUGGGAAUUCUUUUGUUUAUUUAAAUUUCUAUGACAAGGAGAUUUGACCAGGGUGAGUUUAUGAUCCUUGGCACCUUCACAAAAGCACGAUCUGGAUAUUUUUCUUCUAGACACUGUUUAUCUAAUUGACAGAUAUUAACAUUGUAAACAUUUUAGAGGAGACGCUCUGGUGGAUGUUGGGGAAAUAGAGGAAGAGGACCAGCCACUGCUCUCAAGGAUCUCAGACCCAUAUGUGAUCGAUGACAACGCAGCAAGUGUGUCAACAGAAAACUGAUCCCAAAAAGGCCCAGAGGGUAAAAGCCUGACUCUUCCAGAAAGUUUCAGGGAGGAAGUGCUAUGGCUGACUAUUGCAAGAAGAUUCAGAUGGAAGGGGAAGAUAAGGAAGGACAUUCCCGGCAGAAGGGACAGCUUGGCCAAGGGCGUAGCAUUAAGGAGAGAGCAGGUUUUGACAAGUUGCUGUCAAAAGAAGGGUUAAGUCCACAGAUUUCAUUGUAAUUCCUGGCACAGAGUUUGAGGUACCGCUAUCUGCAAAGGGGACCAAACAGAUGACUUGCCCAGGAAUUUGGGGGAGAGCCUGAAGCCAUCUCCUGUAAUCGUAGCAUCUCAUUAAAAAAUUCUGAUUUAUUGUAAAAAUCUAUUUGAACUUGUGUCUAAUCCAUUUUUGUAUGUGUUCUUGGUUUUCAAAUAAAAAUGUUUUAAAUUAA
rnacentral:lncRNA from 1 species